AUCCAGCUGAAGAGUGCCAAACAGGACGAGACGCAUAUCCUGGAU
rfam:Schistosoma curassoni strain Dakar, Senegal genome assembly, scaffold: SCTD_contig0004326